UACGUAGGGGGCUAGCGUUGUCCGGAUUUACUGGGCGUAAAGGGUGAGUAGGCGGUAACGUGUGUCAGAUGUUUAAUCUAUGGGCUCAACCCAUAUCAGCAUUUGAAACUACGUAACUUGAGUGCAGGAGAGGUAAGUGGAAUUCCUAGUGUAGCGGUGGAAUGCGUAGAUAUUAGGAGGAACACCAGUGGCGAAGGCGACUUACUGGACUGCAACUGACGCUGAGUCACGAAAGCGUGGGGAGCAAACAGGAUUAGAUACCCUGGUAGUCCACGCUGUAAACGAUGAGUGCUAGGUGUUGGCCGAGAGGUCAGUGCCGAAGUAAACGCAAUAAGCACUCCGCCUGGGGAGUACGGUCGCAAGACUGAA
rnacentral:rRNA from 1 species